UUGAAACUGACAUAAUGUGAUAACAAUAAUGACCUAUUUAUGUGCGUUACUAGAUUCCAAGACUAUAAUGAGGGUAGCUGUGUGGGCUGUAAGAAGUAUACUUACCAUUCUUACAACAUUGAUGUAUCGUUUAUGUGUUAAAAGUGUUCCUUACAUUCUAGCGAUAACAAUUACUGUUUCUUUGUGUGUCAUUUGUGUUUGUUUUUUUAUUA